UACGGAGGGGGGCUAGCGUUGUUCGGAAUUACUGGGCGUAAAGCGCACGUAGGCGGCUUUGUAAGUUAGAGGUGAAAGCCCGGGGCUCAACUCCGGAAUUGCCUUUAAGACUGCAUCGCUAGAAUUGUGGAGAGGUAAGUGGAAUUCCGAGUGUAGAGGUGAAAUUCGUAGAUAUUCGGAAGAACACCAGUGGCGAAGGC
rnacentral:rRNA from 1 species